GACGAACGCUGGCGGCGUGCCUAACACAUGCAAGUCGAACGGGGCUCUUUGGAUCGAGACUUCGGUCAAGUGAAUCUGAGCUUAGUGGCGGACGGGUGAGUAACGCGUGAGCAACCUGCCUUUCAGAGGGGGAUAACAUUUGGAAACAGAUGCUAAUACCGCAUAAGAUUACAGUACCGCAUGAUACAGUGAUCAAAGGAGCAAUCCGCUGAAAGAUGGGCUCGCGUCCGAUUAGCUGGUUGGUGAGGUAACGGCCCACCAAGGCGACGAUCGGUAGCCGGACUGAGAGGUUGAACGGCCACAUUGGGACUGAGACACGGCCCAG
rnacentral:rRNA from 1 species